rnacentral:sRNA from 21 species
CACCGAAUCCGCGGCUCCGGCGAUCACCGGGGUCUGGUGCAAAAGGGA